CAGUGAUCAAUUGGCAGGGAUUACAUUUUACUAUGAUCUGAUUUUUUUUUUAACCCGUGAGGGUUAAUUCUUUUUUUUUUUUUUACCCUCAAGGGUUAAAAAAAAAAAAUCAGAUCAUAGUAAAAUGUAAUCCCUGCCAAUUGAUCACU